AACGCUAGCUACAGGCUUAACACAUGCAAGUCGAGGGGAAACGACAUCGAAAGCUUGCUUUUGAUGGGCGUCGACCGGCGCACGGGUGAGUAACGCGUAUCCAACCUGCCCAUCACUUGGGGAUAACCUUGCGAAAGUAAGACUAAUACCCAAUGAUAUCUCUAGAAGACAUCUGAAAGAGAUUAAAGAUUUAUCGGUGAUGGAUGGGGAUGCGUCUGAUUAGCUUGUUGGCGGGGUAACGGCCCACCAAGGCAACGAUCAGUAGGGGUUCUGAGAGGAAGGUCCCCCACAUUGGUACUGAGACACGGACCAAACUCCUACGGGAGGCAGCAGUGAGGAAUAUUGGUCAAUGGGCGAGAGCCUGAACCAGCCAAGUAGCGUGAAGGAUGAAGGUCCUAUGGAUUGUAAACUUCUUUUAUAGUAGAAUAAAGUGAGCCACGUGUGGUUUUUUGUAUGUAUACUAUGAAUAAGGAUCGGCUAACUCCGUGCCAGCAGCCGCGGUAAUACGGAGGAUCCGAGCGUUAUCCGGAUUUAUUGGGUUUAAAGGGUGCGUAGGCGGAAUAAUAAGUCAGUUGUGAAAGUUUGCGGCUCAACCGUAAAAUUGCAGUUGAUACUGUUAUUCUUGAGUGUACAUAAGGUAGGCGGAAUUCGUGGUGUAGCGGUGAAAUGCUUAGAUAUCACGAAGAACUCCGAUUG
rnacentral:rRNA from 1 species